AGUGUACGCUGGCGGUAGGCCUAACACAUGCAAGUCGAACGGCAGCACAGUAAGAGCUUGCUCUUACGGGUGGCGAGUGGCGGACGGGUGAGGAAUACAUCGGAAUCUACUUUUUCGUGGGGGAUAACGUAGGGAAACUUACGCUAAUACCGCAUACGACCUACGGGUGAAAGCAGGGGAUCUUCGGGCCUUGCGCGAUUGAAUGAGCCGAUGUCGGAUUAGCUAGUUGGCGGGGUAAAGGCCCACCAAGGCGACGAUCCGUAGCUGGUCUGAGAGGAUGAUCAGCCACACUGGAACUGAGACACGGUCCAGACUCCUACGGGAGGCAGCAGUGGGGAAUAUUGGACAAUGGGCGCAAGCCUGAUCCAGCCAUACCGCGUGGGUGAAGAAGGCCUUCGGGUUGUAAAGCCCUUUUGUUGGGAAAGAAAAGCAGCAGGUUAAUACCCCGCUGUUCUGACGGUACCCAAAGAAUAAGCACCGGCUAACUUCGU
rnacentral:rRNA from 1 species